UACGAAGGGGGCUAGCGUUGCUCGGAAUUACUGGGCGUAAAGCGCACGUAGGCGGCCAUGAUAGUCAGAUGUGAAAGGCCUGGGCUUAACCCGGGAACUGCAUUUGAUACUGCAUGGCUAGAGUCCAAGAGAGGGUAGUGGAAUUCCCAGUGUAGAGGUGAAAUUCGUAGAUAUUGGGAAGAACACCAGUGGCGAAGGCGGCUACCUGGCUUGGAACUGACGCUCAAGUGCGAAAGCGUGGGGAGCGAACAGG
rnacentral:rRNA from 1 species